AUGGUGAGCCACGUGAAUGGAAGACAUGGAGAUAUGGACUGUUAACACCUUGUCAAACAUUUAUUGUCCCUUCCACCUCUAAACUUCUGUGAUAAUAGGUGAACAGGACCCACGUGGUGCAGAAUACUGCGAUACACACUGCGGAAUAAUUCAGAACAACACGUGGAUUGCUCAGUACAACUUGUUCAUCACAUCCUCCUGUUCACUGAAGAAUUAUGGAAAUAUUCUCUGAGCUGCUUUCCUCCCUGCCCAACGAGUCAUCUCUGUGUGAAAGGCCAAGCUUAUAAAUCCUGGGACUGGGAGUUGGAGAGGGGAGACUGGAGAGAGUAGGAAGGUUUUGGUAUCAAGAUGAUGCUGGCCUCAUAAAUUGAGAAGAAAGAGACAUUAUACAAAUGCAAGCUGUUGUCACAACAAUGAUAAGAAAUCAGGAGUCGAAAGAUGUGGAGUAAGGGGGAAUUUCAGAGAAACCACAAAACACAAAAUAGGAAACAGAGACAGGAGAAGAUUGCUAUGACAAAAUUGCAGAAGGUGAAAUCUUUGGCAGCCUCUUAUUUCUCUGGAGAAUAUGAUAUUGUCAGGCUGAGGUGGAAGAAUCACAUGGUCAUACUGUUGAAGAGGUCUUGAAACAUUGGGCUUUCCUCUACAAGCGGAAGGAUAGCACUGGCAGCCAUCCACUGGCCCAGCAAUAUCCUGGAUUGAGACGAUAUCAUUUGCAUUACUUGCUGAAUGAAACAUAGUGAAAAUGACUGCAGAUAACCUCAACUAAGUCCAAGAUAUCAUUUUCAAAUCUGGACCAGCCCUUGCCAUCUAGACUGAACAGAGAUUCCAGUUUCCAGGAGAGUAGAUGGAGUAAUGAUAAAAGCACCUCCCAAAACUUUUGCCUUGGUACUACAGAGUGGCACAUAACUAAACAUUAUCAAGGAAUUUUACAGCCCUAGGCCUUCUAUUACUGUGUAUUACAGUCUGCUGUAAUCAUUCUAAUGGUCUAAGAUGUUGCAAGUAAUUUACUCACGGCCUGAACACCAGAAGUGCCAAAAUUGCCUGGGAGUUUUAUUCUGCAUCCAACCAGUACCAGGAAGGAGGAUGUAUUACUUCUCGUUUCUCUACAAGUGUCAGUGCAAAUCCAGCCAUCAAACAAAACUUAGACCUAAAAGCUUUUAGAUUACAGCGAUUAUUGCAGAUUUUACAUGAGAUAAAAAUGUAAUUGCUCCAUUUCCUU
ensembl:lncRNA LINC01478 long intergenic non-protein coding RNA 1478